GAUGAACGCUAGCGACAGGCUUAACACAUGCAAGUCGAGGGGCAGCACGGGAGUAGCAAUACAACUCGUGGCGACCGGCGCACGGGUGAGUAACGCGUAUGCAACCUACCUAUCAGAGGGGAAUAACCCGGCGAAAGUCGGACUAAUACCGCAUAAAACAGGGGCACCGCAUGGUGAUAUUUGCUAAAGAAAUUCGCUGAUAGAUGGGCAUGCGUUCCAUUAGGUAGUUGGUGAGGUAACGGCUCACCAAGCCGACGAUGGAUAGGGGAACUGAGAGGUUGGUCCCCCACACUGGUACUGAGACACGGACCAGACUCCUACGGGAGGCAGCAGUGAGGAAUAUUGGUCAAUGGGCGAGAGCCUGAACCAGCCAAGUCGCGUGAAGGAAGAAGGAUCUAUGGUUCGUAAACUUCUUUUGCAGGGGAAUAAAGUGCGGGACGUGUCCUGUUUUGUAUGUACCCUGAGAAUAAGGAUCGGCUAACUCCGUGCCAGCCGCCGCCGUAAGAC
rnacentral:rRNA from 1 species